GACUCUGAUGGUAAAGAGUCUGCCUGCAGUGCAGGAGACCCAGGUUCGAACCCUGGGUUG
rfam:Ovis aries breed Texel chromosome 6, whole genome shotgun sequence.